GCCGAUGUGGCGGAAUGGUAGACGCAGGGGAUUCAAAAUCCCCCGGUGGUAACAUCGUGUGGGUUCGAGUCCCUCCAUCGGCA
rfam:Loktanella vestfoldensis strain SMR4r, complete genome.